ACGCUCGACACCUACGGAGGCAGCAGUGGGGAAUAUUGCACAAUGGGGGAAACCCUGAUGCAGCGACGCCGCGUGGAGGAAGAAGGUCUUCGGAUUGUAAACUCCUGUUGUUGGGGAAAAAGAGGAUGGUACCCCAACAAGGAAGUGACGGCUAACUACGUGCCAGCAGCCGCGGUAAUCUGAGCGGGCUGGACGAAGGC
rnacentral:rRNA from 1 species